AUAGACGCUCUGCAUGUAAAACUUCUUAUCUCCACACUUGAAUUUCUGUUACAGUUCGCAAUCGUUGUACAUAUUACGCGUACAUUACAUACCUACUGAUUAUUUGAACAAAUCUAUCAAAUUUGUAUGUAAUUCCACAACAGGAAUACGUAAAAGUAAAGAAAAUUAUUGUUUUUCAAAAAAAAAAAAAAAGUUUUAUAAAUUGAAAUCCGCACAAAAGGAUGAAUGAAUACGCCAGCAGGUUAUCGUUUUUGACACAAAUCGAAACCAUGGAAAAUGAAACUCUACUGCGGUUGUACAUAUCUUCGAUUAUCGGCCUACUGGUCAUAGGUUUUUACAAAUUGUUCAACCCCAAAACGCCAAUAAGCUGGUUUACAAUGAACUUGUUUUAUGGUUGUUUUUUCACUUUUUCGACCUGCGUUUCUGCCCGAAUAUCGCAGACUGUCAUCGAAACACAAUAUUUCCACAAUUGGUUCUUCAUGCCCUUUACUAUUCUAAACUGUAUGGCGACACUGGCCUUCAGCAAGUUCGCUAAUGCGUUGGAAAUAACCUUCCGCGCCGAUCAAAGAGUUUUCCGAAAGACAGGAUUCAUUACUUAUUGUUUCGCUCCUACGUAUUUUCUUAUUUCUUCCUAUUUCAAGAAUGAGAUAGAUGUCAUCGACGAUCUAUUCACAAUCAUGAACAUCAUUCGAAUGGCUUCUUUACUACUCUCGAUCAUCGCGCUAAUAAAUUUCAUGACAACAACUUACGAUGACUCUGAAGAUGAACGAAACGUCGAAAUGUUGGUAAAUUAUGCAGGCACAACAUUUGUGGAAAACGUGAUGGAAGGAUUAUUUGUUUGGUUUUUCUUCAAGAAGUAAAUGUACAUGCACAUUAACGUAACGUAUAGAAAAUGGUUUCAAAUGUUAAUACUUUCGACAAUGAUGAUUUUUUUUUCAGUGAAUAAGUUGAAUAUUUAUUAAAUUAUGCGAAGUUUUGAUAAGUAAUUAAUCACUCUUCAAGCUGGAAAUUUUUUUACUAAUCCCUUUUUUUUGUAUAUUCUUUCUUAUCAUGACCAAUAUUCCUGCAUAGUUCCUGGAUACUCUGUAAUAGAUACCUAUGUAUAAUAAUACGUUCAUAAGUCAGAUUGUUUGUACAUUUAUACAAAAAAUAAAUUCAAUGUGUUUAAUACAUCAA